rnacentral:rRNA from 1 species
CCCCUGGGAAGUCCUCGUGUAGCAUCCCU